AGCCCUCCAAAUCUCGGCACGGCCCUCAGCGAGAUGCUCAAAGACAACGAGCACUCUAGAUUUCUAGGCACGGCCCUGGGUGAGAUCCUCAAACACAAUGAGCCCUCCACAUCUCUAAGUACAGUUCUGGGCGAGAUGUUUAAAAACAACGAGGUACGUAUCCAAUAUUGAUAAUGCAAUUAGUAUAGGUUCAUGUG